UCUAAUCUGUAACUGUCCUCGUGAUCAAACUACACGGACUGUCAACACACUCUUAACAAUUUUAUUGGUCUCAUAUGAGUGUGAGCAGCUCCGCUCAUCUUCAUCUCUGCUCUUCUCCACAAAAUGCAUCUAAAUCAUCUGCAGAGAAACUGCUGCUCGAUCACCAGAAUGAUGGACUGCAUGCUUCAGAGGAUUGUGAAGAGAUUCCACUGGAACUUGGUCUUCAUCACAGCAGUUUUCUGAUUCCUUUCUGUGUUUUACUUCAUGCAUUGAUUAAUCUUCAGUGUCAAUUGUUAUUAAUAUAUUCAGGUGAUAACUUGUUAAAAGCACUGAUAUUUGUGCUACAAUUUCACAUGUCAAUAAAAAACAUGUAUUAUACAGAUACUUCGUGUUUAAUGGAAUUAAAUGAUUCAUU